rnacentral:rRNA from 1 species
GACGAACGCUGGCGGCGUGCUUAACACAUGCAAGUCGAACGGUAAGGCCCUUCGGGGUACACGAGUGGCGAACGGGUGAGUAACACGUGGGUGAUCUGCCCUGCACUUCGGGAUAAGCCUGGGAAACUGGGUCUAAUACCGGAUAGGACCACUGCCUGCAUGGGUGGUGGGGGAAAGCUUUUGCGGUGUGGGAUGGGCCCGCGGCCUAUCAGGUUGUUGGUGGGGUGAUGGCCUACCAAGGCGACGACGGGUAGCCGGCCUGAGAGGGUGACCGGCCACACUGGGGCUGCGAUACGGCCCAGACUCCUACGGGAGGCAGCAGUGGGGAGUAUUGCACAAUGGGCGCGAGCCUGAUGCAGCGACGCCGCGUGAGGGAUGACGGCCUUCGGGUUGUAAACCUCUUUCAGCACCGACGAAGCGCAAGUGACGGUAGGUGCAGAAGAAGGACCGGCCAACUACGUGCCAGCCGCCGCCGUAA